rnacentral:lncRNA from 1 species
GUUUAGAGUUAGGGUUAGGGUUAUCAUUAGUGUUACAGUUAGGUUUAGUGUUAGGUUUAGUGUUAGGAUUAGUUUUAGGGUUAGGGUUUGCGUUAAAGUUACGGUUACGGUUAGAGUUUGUGUAAGGGUUGGGGUUAGCAUUAGGGUUAGUGUUAGGGUUAAGUUUAGCGUUAGGGUUAGGGUGAGGAUAUGGGUUAGCAUUAGGGUUAGCGCUAGGACUUUGGUUAGGAUUAGGGCCAGCUUUAGGGUUAGGUUUAGGGUUAGGGUUAGUGUUAGGGAUAGGGUUAGCGUUAGGGUUAGGGUUAGGUUUAGAGUUACAGUUAGGGUUAGCUUUAGGGUUAGGGUUUGGGUUAGGGUUAGGGUUGGCGUUAAGGUUAUGGAUAAGGUUAGGGUUAGCGUUAGUGUUAGCGUUAGGAUUAAGGUUAGGUUUAGGGUUAGCAUUAGGGUUAGGGAUAAGGUUAUUGUUUCGGUUAGGGUUAGGGUUAGCGUAAUAUUUUCAUUAGGUUUUAGGUUAGGGUUAUGGUUAAGGUUAGGGUUAGGUUUAGCAUUAGGGAUGGGGUUAGGGUUAGAGUUAGGUUUAGUGUUAGGAUUAGGGUUAGGGUGAGGGUUUUUGUUAGGGUUAGGCGUCGGGUUAGGGUUAGGAUUAGCGUUGGGUUUAGGUAUAGGGUUAGAGUUAGG